rnacentral:rRNA from 1 species
AAAUUGAAGAGUUUGAUCAUGGCUCAGAUUGAACGCUGGCGGCAGGCCUAACACAUGCAAGUCGAGCGGUAGCACAGAAGAGCUUGCUCUUCGGGUGACGAGCGGCGGACGGGUGAGUAAUGUCUGGGAAACUGCCUGAUGGAGGGGGAUAACUACUGGAAACGGUAGCUAAUACCGCAUAACGUCUUCGGACCAAAGAGGGGGACCUUCGGGCCUCUCGCCAUCGGAUGUGCCCAGAUGGGAUUAGCUAGUAGGUGAGGUAAUGGCUCACCUAGGCGACGAUCCCUAGCUGGUCUGAGAGGAUGACCAGCCACACUGGAACUGAGACACGGUCCAGACUCCUACGGGAGGCAGCAGUGGGGAAUAUUGCACAAUGGGCGCAAGCCUGAUGCAGCCAUGCCGCGUGUGUGAAGAAGGCCUUCGGGUUGUAAAGCACUUUCAGCGGGGAGGAAGGCGAUAAGGUUAAUAACCUUGUCGAUUGACGUUACCCGCAGAAGAAGCACCGGCUAACUCCGUGCCAGCAGCCGCGGUAAUACGGAGGGUGCAAGCGUUAAUCGGAAUGACUGGGCGUAAAGCGCACGCAGGCGGUCUGUUAAGUUGGAUGUGAAAUCCCCGGGCUUAACCUGGGAACUGCAUUCAAAACUGACAGGCUAGAGUCUUGUAGAGGGGGGUAGAAUUCCAGGUGUAGCGGUGAAAUGCGUAGAGAUCUGGAGGAAUACCGGUGGCGAAGGCGGCCCCCUGGACAAAGACUGACGCUCAGGUGCGAAAGCGUGGGGAGCAAACAGGAUUAGAUACCCUGGUAGUCCACGCUGUAAACGAUGUCGACUUGGAGGUUGUGCCCUUGAGGCGUGGCUUCCGGAGCUAACGCGUUAAGUCGACCGCCUGGGGAGUACGGCCGCAAGGUUAAAACUCAAAUGAAUUGACGGGGGCCCGCACAAGCGGUGGAGCAUGUGGUUUAAUUCGAUGCAACGCGAAGAACCUUACCUACUCUUGACAUCCACAGAAUUUGGUAGAGAUACCUUAGUGCCUUCGGGAACUGUGAGACAGGUGCUGCAUGGCUGUCGUCAGCUCGUGUUGUGAAAUGUUGGGUUAAGUCCCGCAACGAGCGCAACCCUUAUCCUUUGUUGCCAGCGAGUAAUGUCGGGAACUCAAAGGAGACUGCCGGUGAUAAACCGGAGGAAGGUGGGGAUGACGUCAAGUCAUCAUGGCCCUUACGAGUAGGGCUACACACGUGCUACAAUGGCGUAUACAAAGAGAAGCGAUCUCGCGAGAGCAAGCGGACCUCAUAAAGUACGUCGUAGUCCGGAUUGGAGUCUGCAACUCGACUCCAUGAAGUCGGAAUCGCUAGUAAUCGUAGAUCAGAAUGCUACGGUGAAUACGUUCCCGGGCCUUGUACACACCGCCCGUCACACCAUGGGAGUGGGUUGCAAAAGAAGUAGGUAGCUUAACCUUCGGGAGGGCGCUUACCACUUUGUGAUUCAUGACUGGGGUGAAGUCGUAACAAGGUAACCGUAGGGGAACCUGCGGUUGGAUCACCUCCUUA